rnacentral:rRNA from 1 species
UACGAAGGGGGCUAGCGUUGCUCGGAAUCACUGGGCGUAAAGGGUGCGUAGGCGGCUCAUGAAGGCUGUGGUGAAAGUCCGGGGCUCAACCUCGGAUCGGCCGUGGCGACUCGUGGGCUGGAGCACUGUAGAGGCGGGUGGAAUUCCGGGUGUAGCGGUGGAAUGCGUAGAGAUCCGGAAGAACACCAGUGGCGAAGGCGGCCCGCUGGGCAGUGGCUGACGCUGAGGCGUGACAGCGUGGGGAGCAAACAGG